rnacentral:lncRNA from 1 species
UUAAAAAAUAUAAUUUUUAUAUUUUAUAUGCUAACUCAUUAAUGUUUUAUGAAAGAAAAUAUUAUAUUGGGAGAUUUUCAGAGAUGAUAAAUUAUUUGUUUCGCUUAUUUUUAAUUACAAAUAAAUUCAGCUAAAAAUAUGAAGUAAUUAAAUUUUGAAUACCAUCUCGUAUUUUUAGUUAAUUAUGCUAGAUAAGAUCAGUGAUGUACAGUAGCAU